AACGAACGCUGGCGGCAGGCCUAACACAUGCGAGUCGAGCGAAGCCUUCGGGCUUAGCGGCGGACGGGUGAGUAACGCGUGGGAACGUGCCCUUUGGUACGGAAUAGCCCCGGGAAACUGGGAGUAAUACCGUAUGUGGUCGAGAGACGAAAGAUUUAGUCGCCAAAGGAUCGGCCCGCGUUGGAUUAGGUAGUUGGUGGGGUAAUGGCCUACCAAGCCGACGAUCCAUAGCUGGUUUGAGAGGAUGAUCAGCCACACUGGGACUGAGACACGGCCCAGACUCCUACGGGAGGCAGCAGUGGGGAAUCUUAGACAAUGGGGGAAACCCUGAUCUAGCCAUGCCGCGUGAUCGAUGAAGGCCUUAGGGUUGUAAAGAUCUUUCAGUGGGGAAGAUAAUGACUGUACCCACAGAAGAAGCCCCGGCUAACUCCGUGCCAGCCGCCGCAGUAAGAC
rnacentral:rRNA from 1 species